rnacentral:rRNA from 1 species
CAGUAGCCGCGGUAAUACGUAGGGUGCAAGCGUUAAUCGGAAUUACUGGGCGUAAAGCGUGCGCAGGCGGUUAUAUAAGACAGAUGUGAAAUCCCCGGGCUCAACCUGGGAACUGCAUUUGUGACUGUAUAGCUAGAGUACGGCAGAGGGGGAUUGAAUUCCGCGUGUAGCAGUGAAAUGCGUAGAUAUGCGGAGGAACACCGAUGGCGAAGGCAAUCCCCUGGGCCUGUACUGACGCUCAUGCACGAAAGCGUGGGGAGCAAACAGGAUUAGAUACCCCUGUAGUCCCUGUCUCUUAUAC